ACUUGCUCCUGAAGAAGAGGGACCUCAUCUAGGCUGCUCUGGGCACAGUGGCCAGCUCACUCCAGGCACUUAACCAUGCUAUUUGUGUUGUGUGUUGCCCUCCCACAAGGAGCAUCUUAGGCUCUGAUCCCAAAGUCCCAUAGCUACAAUGGAUCUUCUCAGGGCAGCGGACGAAGAACCCACCUGACUUAGAAGGUGUGGCAAGGUUGAACACCAAGGAAUAGAACAUUUUCAAGGUUUCAACACACCCCUUGUUUUUGUCUUCCCUGUUUGUUUUCACACCAGCCCCACCCUAAGCUCCUGCUGGUGCAAUGGCCCCAGAUAGUGGCUCAAUGCCAUGGAUGGGACAUUGCUCAAAGGGGGCUGUGGGUGCUGAGGGCAAAAUCUCCUCCCAGGAAACCAAGCCCUCAAGGUCAUCUUCCCUUGGCUCUUAUUUAUUCAUUCAGUCAACACUCAAUACUCACUAAGAGGCUGCUAUAUCUUAGGGUUGGUGCUUAGAGCAUGGGAUGGGGGUGGAGAGAAUGAAGACAUCAAUAUGACACAGCCUCUGUCACCCAGAAGCUCACUGUCUAGUGGAUAUAUAGACAAAAUCUGCUGUGAUGAUGGAUGGGGCUCUGACUUAGCUCAGAAUGAAGUUCUAGAGGCCUCAAAGGAGGGUGUGACCCAACUCCUGUGGGCAUCUGGGAACAAGUGACCAAGGAGUGAUGUUUGAAGUAUAACCCGACAGAUGUGUAAGGUAUCUCCUGACAGGUGAGAAGAAUCAGGGCAUUCUAGGUGGAGGAGCAGUUCAUUCAAAAGCAGGAGGGGCAAAAGAACAGAGUGCAUGGAGACUGAAGUUGGCUCUGUGCUGGAGGCCAGUGGGGGUGGAAGGGAGAUUGUGGAAUAAGUUGGUUGGGGCAAGACUGAAAAUAUUCUUAACAAGAUGCCAUGGAAUGUGGCCUGUGCAGAAGGCACCGAGGAGCCCAUCGCAAGUUCUGGGCAGAGUAGAGAUGUCUUCCUAUUUCACUAACAGGGAAGCAGCAGGCCUUAGGAGAAAACCAGGAACUGGGAAUCAGUAAAUCUGUACCACCACUGACUUGCUCUGGGAUCUUGGGAGAACACGCAACCUCUCCAAGUCUUACGUUUCCUCGCGAGGAUGACAAUUUCCACCCAGGAUUGACUGGAGGACCAGAUGAGAUCACAGAUAUGAAGCAUGCUGUAUCUGGGGACAUUGGACAAACGGUAGCUGCUAACAUCACGCCUGCUUUAUGUGUUUUCUCAGAUCCGAGGCAGCUGAGGCCUGGAGAGGACCAUGACCUUGUCCCUUGUCCCUUCUAGGAAGUGACAGAGGCUGGACCAGAAGCAGAAAGUCUUCUCCAGACUUCUACUAUGCUCCAGUCCUCCUGCUUCCUGGGGCCAGACCAGAGGCCUUGCAGCUGCGACGGGUGCCAGAUGGCAUCUCAGUCACCAGGCUGGAGGGCGCCUGAGGACCCUGCGCUCAGUGCCAGGCUGGCAGCCCAUCCCCUACACGGACGCCACGGGCACAGGGCAGAGGGACUGAGUGAAGGCAGCACGUGCGGUGGAAGGAAAAGAAUGCGGUGACUCAGGCCCACAUUGUGGCACUGUUCUCAGCUGUCUGAGGGGCACCCCAGCCUGGAGGAGGCAGCUGCUAACUUCACUUUGUCAGAGAGUCACUCUUGCCCCAGGGUGCCGACAUGGUAAGGGCAUGGUAAGGGCAGAGGAGGGCGAGAUGGGCCUCACCCAGUCGGCCCUGGGCAAAAGUGAGGGUGCCCUCUGCGAGGUGAGAAAGCAGCUCUCCUCCUAGCUCUGCUCUUGCCCUGGCCACUGCUGUGACUUUAAGCAUGAUCUCACCUGAACCUGAUGAGCCGCACCCUUCUCAUCCAUUUAUAGGUGCCAUAGCUUGGAGAUAGGCAGCAGUCAGUAGGCUAAUGCAUUAAAAACAAAACAAAACAAAACAAAAAAAACCCUUGGCAAGCCUAGAGAAUUCUACACAUGUGUUUUAGUCUGUUCAGGCCGCUAUGACAAAACAUCACAGACUGGGGAGCCUAUCAGGAAGAAAAUCUUAUUUCUCACAGUUCUGGCAGCUGGGAAGUCCAAGAUCGAGACACCAGUGUGGUCGUGGUCCGGUGAGAGCCCACCUUCUGGUUCACAGCUGACCCCUUCUCGCUGUGUCCUCACGUGGCGGAAGGCCAAGAGAUAGCUCUCUCUGGAGCCUCCUUUGUAAGAGCACCAGGCCCAUUCAGGGGAGCUUCUCCCUCAUGACCUAAGCACUUCCUAAAGGCUUUGCCUCCCUAUAGCAUCACCUUGGGAGCUAUGAUUUCAACAUAUGAAUUUUGGUACUCUUACCAUGAUUAAUGCUAAUAUUCAUAUCAUUAAACAUCUUGAAGGAAACAUGAUGGUAAAAUGUUAACUUGUGUCCAUGAAGGGUAUGCUUGACUCCUUCAUGCUGUUUUUGUAAC